CGGGGGCAAUGUGUCUCAGAAUGACUCGCGACUGGGAGUAUCAUACAGUGUAUUCAAAGGAAACCUUUAAUGUCAAAGUUCAUGUUAUCAGCUUCAGGCAUCAACACGCCUUGAGGAAAUACGUCGAAAGGAACCGCAGUCCCAAAAACUGUGCCAGAGAUGAGCAUGGGGGUGGAAUCGCUACUUCGUGCAGCUUAUCCAGGGCAAUCACACGUCGUUCCUGCUGCAGCCAGUAUAGCAUCUCAAUGCGAUCCCAGCGCAUCUUCUGCUCGUAAGGCCUCCCCUGAAAGACACCCCAG